GUAACGGCGAGUGAAGCGGCAACAGCUCAAAUUUGAAAUCUGGCCCUCUGGGUCCGAGUUGUAAUUUGUAGAGGAUGCUUUUGGUACGGUGCCUUCCGAGUGCCCUGGAACGGGACGCCAUAGAGGGUGAGAGCCCCGUCUGGUUGGAUACCACGCCUCUGUAAAGCUCCUUCGACGAGUCGAGUAGUUUGGGAAUGCUGCUCAAAAUGGGAGGUAUAUGUCUUCUAAAGCUAAAUAUUGGCCAGAGACCGAUAGCGCACAAGUAGAGUGAUCGAAAGAUGAAAAGCACUUUGAAAAGAGGGUUAAAUAGUACGUGAAAUUGUUGAAAGGGAAGCACUCAUGACCAGACUUGGGCCCGGUGAAUCAUCCAGCGUUCUCGCUGGUGCACUUCGCCGGCUCAGGCCAGCAUCAGUUCGCCCCGGGGGAUAAAGGCUUCGGGAAAGUAGCUCCUCCGGGAGUGUUAUAGACCGUUGCACAAUACCCUGGGGCGGACUGAGGUUCGCGCUUCCGCAAGGAUGCUGGCGUAAUGGUCAUCAGUGA
rnacentral:rRNA from 1 species